AUGAACGCUGGCGGCGUGCCUAAUACAUGCAAGUCGAGCGCACAGACGAGGAGCUUGCUCCUCUGACGUUAGCGGCGGACGGGUGAGUAACACGUGGAUAACCUACCUAUAAGACUGGGAUAACUUCGGGAAACCGGAGCUAAUACCGGAUAAUAUAUUGAACCGCAUGGUUCAAUAGUGAAAGACGGUUUUGCUGUCACUUAUAGAUGGAUCCGCGCCGCAUUAGCUAGUUGGUAAGGUAACGGCUUACCAAGGCAACGAUGCGUAGCCGACCUGAGAGGGUGAUCGGCCACACUGGAACUGAGACACGGUCCAGACUCCUACGGGAGGCAGCAGUAGGGAAUCUUCCGCAAUGGGCGAAAGCCUGACGGAGCAACGCCGCGUGAGUGAUGAAGGUCUUCGGAUCGUAAAACUCUGUUAUUAGGGAAGAACAAAUGUGUAAGUAACUAUGCACGUCUUGACGGUACCUAAUCAGAAAGCCACGGCUAACUACGUG
rnacentral:rRNA from 1 species